GAUCUUGGCUCAGGACGAACGCUGGCGGCGCGCCUAACACAUGCAAGUCGAACGAGCGAGAGAGAGCUUGCUUUCUCGAGCGAGUGGCGAACGGGUGAGUAACGCGUGAGGAACCUGCCUCAAAGAGGGGGACAACAGUUGGAAACGACUGCUAAUACCGCAUAAGCCCACGACCCGGCAUCGGGUAGAGGGAAAAGGAGAAAUCCGCUUGUAGAUGCCGUCCGCGCCCGGACUUAGUCUAGUUGGUUGGAGGG
rnacentral:rRNA from 1 species